CAGUAGCCGCGGUAACACGGAGGGUGCAAGCGUUAUCCGGAUUUAUUGGGUUUAAAGGGUCCGUAGGCGGACUUAUAAGUCAGUGGUGAAAGCCUGUCGCUUAACGAUAGAACUGCCAUUGAUACUGUAAGUCUUGAGUAUAUUUGAGGUAGCUGGAAUAAGUAGUGUAGCGGUGAAAUGCAUAGAUAUUACUUAGAACACCAAUUGCGAAGGCAGGUUACCAAGAUAUAACUGACGCUGAGGGACGAAAGCGUGGGUAGCGAACAGGAUUAGAUACCCCUGUAGUCCCUGUCUCUUAUAA
rnacentral:rRNA from 1 species